CAGUAAUCAAAUAGAUGCAAUAAAAAAUGAUAAAGGGGAUAUCACCAUCAAAUCCACAAAUACAAACUAUCAUGAGAGGUUACUACAAACACCUCUAUG